rnacentral:rRNA from 1 species
UGGGGAAUAUUGCACAAUGGGGGAAACCCUGAUGCAGCAACGCCGCGUGAGUGAAGAAGUAUUUCGGUAUGUAAAGCUCUAUCAGCAGGGAAGAAAAUGACGGUACCUGACUAAGAAGCACCGGCUAAAUACGUGCCAGCAGCCGCGGUAAUACGUAUGGUGCAAGCGUUAUCCGGAUUUACUGGGUGUAAAGGGAGCGCAGGCGGUCUGGCAAGUCUGAUGUGAAAGCCCGGGGCUCAACCCCGGGACUGCAUUGGAAACUGUCAGACUAGAGUGUCGGAGAGGUAAGUGGAAUUCCUAGUGUAGCGGUGAAAUGCGUAGAUAUUAGGAGGAACACCAGUGGCGAAGGCGGCUUACUGGACGAUAACUGACGCUGAGGCUCGAAAGCGUGGGGAGCAAACAGG